rnacentral:lncRNA from 1 species
UCCGGGUCAUUUUUAUUAAAUUCAUACUGUUUCUAUGUUAAGAAAUAGGUUAACCUGUUCGUGAAUUGACGACAACGUUUAACAAGUGCAAUUGUCCUUUGAAAUCAGCUCAUAUUCAGUUAAAUUUCAUACCGUGCGCAGGCAAGAAACAAAAAGAUAUUUGAGUAUGUUAUGUGUUCAUUCCUUUGUAAGAUUGUGUAUAAAUAUAAAGUUGUUUCUUGC